rnacentral:misc_RNA from 1 species
UUUCCGUAGGUGAACCUGCGGAAGGAUCAUUGUCGAAACCUGCCCAGCAGAACGACCUGCGAACUUGUAUAAACAACCGGGGGCGGGGGGCGUUCUCGCCCCGUGCCCCCGAACGGCGGGGAGACACUCGUGCCUUCUUGCCGAACAACGAACCCCGGCGCGGUCUGCGCCAAGGAACUUCAACUAAAGAGUGCCUCCGGUCGCCUCGGAAACGGCGUGCGUGCCGGGGGCGAAUCUUGUGCAAAACCAUAACGACUCUCGGCAACGGAUAUCUCGGCUCUC